GUCUCUGUAGCGCAAUGGAUACCUCGUUGGACUUGUAAUUCAAUGGUCAUGGGUUGAAAUCCCACCUGAGAUG
rnacentral:tRNA from 1 species